UUUUAAUCUAAAUAAAAUAUCAUUUAAUUAAUAAAGUAGUCUUACUACAUUAAAGAUUUUUUUUAUGAUUAGAAAAAAUAUACUAUAAAUUUUGGCAAAUAAUACCUAUAGAUUAUUAAAAAACAUGUAAACUUUACAUAAAGUAAAAUUAAAAAAUUAAUUUUAUUUUGUUGAAAAGUUUUAAAAUGUUAUUGAUAUGUGUUAUAUUAAACAAAUGCUUUUUACUUAAGUGAUGAUUGUUUGGAUGAUUUUUAUUUUGUAAAUUUAGAAUUUAAAUUUACAUGAUAGACAAAAAAAAUUUGUGGAUUCUUAGUAAUUUGGAAUAGUUACUAUUUUUUUCUUAGUGAUUCUUACUAUUUUUUGGAAUAGCUAUCACUAAUGUAUUUUUGUUGUUUAUACUAUAUUAAUGCAUAGAUGUAGAUAUAUUAAUAAUUCAGCAAAAAGAAAAAGAAUAACAAAUCACGUACAUUCUACAAGGAAUCCAAGAAAAUGUAGUUUUUACUUUUUGCUAGGAAGUAAGUUUUUAUUUCAAAAUCUAGUUUCCCUAAAUUUUAGGAAAUCUAUUUUUCAAAAAUCUUGAUUGGCAAAAAAGAAGUUUUUAGAAAAUCAAAAACCAAAAACCAUUUUAGAAACUACAAACAAUCAACCUCGUAUGUUGAUGAGUUAUCAGAUCUUAAAACUAAAUUAUUGGUGGAAAUGGGUUUGGGUUUUAAAUUAUGUGGCUUCUAAAUGAGAUGAGUUUAAAUAAAGAGGGUUUACAUAAGUUUAGCAUCUAUAAAAUGUAUUUGAAUCUUCUAUACUAUUAAAGCAGAAUACUUCUUAUGAAUCUGCCCCUGAAUUUUUCUACAAAUUACAAAACAUUCCAUUCUAAGAACUUAUCAAUUAUUUUAAAGGCUUUUACGAAAAUGUAAAGCCCACCAAUUCUAUACUAUCGGAAAUUAAAGCCCACCACUUCUAUCCAUUGGUUUUCGAAAUUCAGGUAUAUUUUUUCGUAUUUACAGCCCAUUUAGUACUAUAAGAUUUUCAAUAUCAAAUCAAAUAAAGAGAAGAUCCCCAAUCUUGAGGAACACUCAGAAAAUAUAACUGGAAAUCUCUCUAAUCUUUAAAUAUAGGGAGAUUCGAUUUUCCAAUUCGAGAUCCCCCAACUUUCUCCCCAAGUUUUUCCUAAAACCUAACACCUUGCUUUGGAUCCGAUCAAUACUAUAAAUACGCUUCACCAGUUUCCUGUUCAAAACAAAACCUUCGAACAAACCAAAAAAUAAAGCAAUGGCCACUAAGAAUAUUGCACCUUCGAUGCAAAUCCAAGCAUCGAGAGGUCCUAAAGAAAAAUCUGUCCUCUUCGGCGACUUGAAACCAUGGAAAAACACUUGGUUGGUUCAUGUAAAGGUGCUACACGCUUGGAAACAAUACAUUCAAUCCGUAGAGACCAUGGAAUUCGUCUUGGCUGAUGAGACUGGGCAAAAAAUUCAUGCAACAUGUAAAAAGACUUACAUUGAAAGUAAGGGAAGGAUGCUUACGGUUGGAGCAUGGCGCUACAUCCGGAAUUUCCAGAUUACUCCUGCUGGUGGGGCUUAUCGAACCACAGAUCUUACCUGAAAAAUUGUUUUCAAUCAAAAUACGGCCGAUCUAAUCACGUUAAUGACGAGCUGUAUAUAUAUAAUGAUAGUGAUAAUCCUUUGUAGGUUCUGGCUCCACUUGAUGGUCAGUGAUGAUACAAGCGUCUCGAAAAUAAUGAUCUUAGAUAAGGUUGCUAAUGGGAUUGUUGCUGAAUCUCCAGAGAAGCUGUUGAAUGGAAGCUGGGAUGAGCUUGAAGAUCCGACCUUAAUACCAGAUUGUAUUACUGAUUUGAUUGGCAAAAACUUCACAUUUGGAGUAUAUGUUGAGAAAGAGAAUGUCGCGUAUGGUUCCGAAAUUUAUAAGGUUGGGAAAAUCUAUAAAGAGAGAAUGACUUGCGUUUCUGAUGCAAUCACUCACUGUCAAUCUGAUAAGAAUUUGGCAAUUACUAGUGGUGAUCAGGUUGGAGCAUGUAAAUCUAUAUCAAUAUUUAUUGUGUAUUGUCUAUGGUUUUAUCUUAACAUUAUUGAGUUUAUGUGUGUUCGAUACAGGAUUCUAUCUACUUAAGUGAAAGUCAAAAAAUUUCACAUUUAUAAUUAAAAAUUUCACAUAUACAAUUAAUAAACAUAAACAUAAAUUAGAUAGGAAUGUAAUAGAUGAUAUCAAUACACCCGGUCAUAAUUUAAAUAAUAUUACAAUUCAUUUAAAUAUUUUAAUAAUUUUAUAAGCCAAUGUACACAUUAAUUUUACUAAAAAUAAUUUUAAAGUUAAUAUCUUACUGUAUUUUUCAAUAAAAAAAAUAAUUAUUUCACAAUACUAACAUUUGGUAUAGAUGAAAAAUUAAUGUAAAACAUAAAAACAAAUGCUAACAAAAAUCACUAAGACAUUUGAUAUACAUUUGUUAUAAUAAUAAAUAUGUCAAAUAAAACAAACCCGCGCUUAAUAAUAAAUAUUUCAAAGAAAACAAACCCGCGCUUUGAAAGC